CAGUAGCCACGGUAAUACAGAGGGUGCGAGCGUUAAUCGGAUUUACUGGGCGUAAAGCGUGCGCAGGCGGUUAUAUAAGACAGAUGUGAAAUCCCCGGGCUCAACCUGGGAACUGCAUUUGUGACUGUAUAGCUAGAGUACGGCAGAGGGGGAUGGAAUUCCGCGUGUAGCAGUGAAAUGCGUAGAUAUGCGGAGGAACACCGAUGGCGAAGGCAAUCCCCUGGGCCUGUACUGACGCUCAUGCACGAAAGCGUGGGGAGCAAACAGGAUUAGAUACCCCGGUAGUCCCUGUCUCUUAUAC
rnacentral:rRNA from 1 species